GCCAGGCAUGGUGGCACGCGCCUGUAAUCGCAGCUACUUGGGAGGCUGAGGCGGGAGAAUCUCUUGAACCCGGGAGGUGGAGGUUGCAGUGGGCUGAGAUCAUGUCGUUGCACUCAAGCCUGGUGACAAGAGUGAGACUCCAUCUCAAAAAAAAAAAAAAGGGAUGAAAUGUACAAUGUGGACAGUUUCACAUGAGUUUUUUUUUUUUUUGAGACUGAGUUUCGCUCUUGUUGCCCAGGCUGGAGUGCAAUGGCAUGAUCUCGGCCCACUGCAACCUCCGCCUCCCAGGUUCAAGAGAUUCUCCCGCCUCAG
rnacentral:SRP_RNA from 1 species